UCAAUAUUUCCCUCCCGUGGAACAUCUAGCCCUCCUCUCUGCCCCCCCAUCCCUUACAAACCAACUCAAGUUCCACCUCUUCCAUGAAGCCUUCCCGGAUACAACUCUAUGUGGCAAAUCAGUAUCAGUUCUUCAUUUCAGUCAUAGAACAUGUCGCCUGGAUCGUAUAUUGAGGUCCAAAUAACUUCUAUGUCGCAUUUAAAUGCAGCUUCAAAUAUGCAAACCAAGAGAUGUCACCAGCACAUUGCCUUGCAUUGAGUGUCUUGUCAUGCGUCACACUGAGUGGUCCCUAGGACUUUUCAAUCUGUAGACUUACGAUACUCAGUUCUGGAAAAAUUUUGUGUAUUUUUACGAAUUAGGAAGGAAGUUAACCUUCCUAUUACGUUCUUUGUUCCUUCCAAAACUUCAAUUUGAACAUCCUGGAUUUGUUUUCUCUCUCUCUCUUUUUUUUUCUCUCCGAAAUUCCCAGAACUGGAGGUCAUGAAAUACAUAUCGAAAGGACACUUCAAAUCCCUGUACAUUGUCAAAGUAGAUCCACUCCAAAGUACAUCAUCAUGAAUUUUCAGGAUACUGACGAUAAAGAGAAGACUCUAAAAACUUUCAGAAAGGGGGCAACAUUUAAUAAGACGGAUCACGGAUCAGAAUGGCCUCAGACUUCUCAUUAAUAACACUAGAUGGUAGCAGUGCCUUCAAAACUCUGAGGGACAGCGGUUCCCAAGCACAGUUAUAUACCCAGUGAAGCCGCUAAAACAUUAGGGCAAAAUGGGCGUGUUUAGAUACGCACGGUCUCAAGCGUUCACCCCUUAAGCAUCCUUUCUCAGGAAGCUGCUGGAAGGGAGACUCGAUCAAAACAGGAGAACGAAGCAAGAAAUGAGAAGGAAAGGGAGCCAAGAAAUGGGCUUCCGCCCAAGAGAGAGUCCGUGGAGGGCACCUCCAGGAUGCCCCCGCCCCGGUGGUUGUUGGGGAGGGGGGGGUUUGGGCAGCAGAUAUCAGUCCCCCUACAUGGGAGAGGCCAGAGGGCCCUGGGGAAGAGUUUUUCCCAGACGCCGAAAUUAAUAGGAUAUCUAACAUAUCUGAAUCUACACAACUUGCAAACCGGGAAGAAUUGGGGGAUAAAACAGUAACGAGUACAUAGAGAGCUCGGCAAAAGCAAAUGCAAGGCAAUCGCGAAAUCCAGAGAAAACGAAAAGUUACAGCAGAAGGAAAAAUUAAUCAUGGCUCAUCCGUGAAUAGUAGUUAACUGUUACCCGAAACUCCGAAAAUUACUCUAACCCAGAAGAAGUCACAACUGGGAGGAUGAACGGCCAGCAAGUCUAGGGUGCUAAGGGUGAAGAGACCGGAAGUGGAGGGUGAAGGGUGAAGGAGACAGAAAGUAUAAGGGGGUGGAAAGCGAUGAGAUGAUGGGUGCGUGCGUGCGUGCGUGUGUGUGUGUGUGCGCGCGCGCGUGUGUGUAGGAGACCAGAAGGGGAGGGGUGAAGGGUGAAGAGUGAAGGAGACCGGAAGCGUAAGUGGGUGAAAGGUGAGAGGUGAAGGAGACCGGAAGUAAAGGGGGUGAAAGGUGUACGAAGACAGGAAGUGUCAGGGGGUGAAGAGUGAAAAAUGUAGAAGAGCCAAGUUGUCACGGGCUAUCCUCAGUUGCAAACUCCCAGAGUGGAAAAAGCUAGAAAUAUAAGCCUGUUCUUUGGUGAUAGGGAGAGAGGGAGACCCCGAGGAGUCGACUGGAUGUGCCGUGUGCGGCGGCCGGGCCUACUCGCCACCCUCGGGAGGGCCCCCAGCGAGCGUGGAGGACGGAACCCCCGCAAUCACCGGAGGUGAUAACCGCUACAGGGAGGAACAGCCCUGAAAGACAGUGGUGAAGGGAAAGCCUCCCAGUAGACACAUUUUGGCCAACCUGGUUGUGUGCUUCGGAGGAAAGGUGGUUUGGGGUCAAGGUCGACACUGACUGAUGAGUCAUGGGUCAUAGAUUCGCUGGCUGGUCAGGAACCUUGGAUGGUCGAGAUCGGAAGGCUUGUGAGCAGGAAGUCUGGGAACGAGUUACAUGGAGAUGGAAGUCCCUGGAUGAGCAUCACGUGACGCUACAAGGAGCGGGGUCCUGUUCCGGGUCCAGACUUGCUUUUCUUUACUGGCAGCGUGCCAGCACCACCACUUGGAGAUUUUCAGAGUGCCCUGCUCAUUGUCAUGGUAACCCACACAACAUCAUCUCCAGCCAAGAAACUCGUUUUACGGCAAAAGGCAUGUGGCACUGAGUUCAUGCCCAUGGAAUUCCCUGGCCUGUGCACGGCUCCCGAGAUACUCAGUGGCACUUGUGUGGAUGGACUGAGGAAAUGGCCUGCUGAGGGCUCAGCUGGGGCACCAGCGGGAGUACAUGGGAUCUCUCCGGGAGACACCACGUGUAUUCGGUGCCGUUUCCCCCAUGGCCAGAAUACACAGGUUCUGUACUUUGACAGGCUGCCCCUGGAGUCUCGAACUGGUCUGGAGCAUAGCCUGGGGAGGAAAUGUUGGAGAUCUGAAGAGAAGAUGUGACAUAGUCACUUAGGUUUGUUAGAUGUGCGCAAGGACCAGGGUGGAGGCCGAAGGGGCCCCCGUCGCUUUUUCACCAACCAGUCCUCUUACAGAACGUUCGCUUCCCCCGUAAGGCUGGGCUCAGCGCUCGAGAAGGAAGGUUCCCCGGAGAGCACAGUCUUGAUCCCGUUAAACCGGAAGGUCAGGUCGGUGACUUGUGGGCUUCUUGACCGAGCCCGCAUCGAAUGGGGUUCGCUGUACUGGCCGGGAUAAGGAGGACUCUACCUGAGCCAGAGGACUCACCAGAGCGCGGCAGGGUCUCCCCGUCCAAAAACCGGCCAAUAGGAAACCGCGGUGACUCAGGGAGGACAGGACAGCUAAGAAUUUGGAUUCCGUGGGAAUGAAGAUUUGCACCACCCUGAGAAGUGAAACCCAGAGGGCCGCAGUGCUGCCGAGAGGUAAGGAAGUCGGUGCAGGCAGCGAGAGGAGGGAGCCAGGAGUGUCACCCCAGGUCUGGAACCAGCAGCAAGUGGGUGCUUUUCCCCCUCUUUCCCUGUUGCCUUCCGUGAAGAACAAUGUUGGCCACUAACGCCGUCGUUUGGAUUCGCGUUGCAAGUAUGACGCAGCUGACACUACCCACUGCAGUCGAUGCCUGAUGGGACUUGGUGUUUCCCCAGGGUGGGGGCCACAGGAUCCAGUCGUCGAAAGAAAGGACAAGGACUCUCUCUGCCCCUCCGGAUUCAUUUUCCAUCCUUUUCUCGCCUGCUGGUGUCCAGGAGGCUGACCGCUAUAGAAUCCGCUCUCCAGACCCUCUCAUCUUCUGGCCUCCAGUUGGAUUUGACCAAUGGAGGCCUGAGCAGGAGAUCAUAGGUUUGGAGGAAACAUAGAUCAGGGGAUUUGUCACGGUUUUGACAGUGCUCGCUUGGCCCUGAAGCCCCGGGGCGGGCAGACCCUCUUCCACAGCCCUGACCCCCACAUGGUAAUGGGAGCAUCAUCCCUUCUUUGUCCCCUUGGUCCCCCUUUGGUGCUUGUAUCUGGGUGUCUUAUUAUCAUUAUUUUCCCUUAGCCCUGCCCGUGUCUCAUAAAGAGGCCCUUCAUUAACUUUCUUCAAUUAAACCUUCUUUCUGUGCCAUAUA